AAGUUCCGUAGCUCAGCCGGUAGAGCACCACGACACCGUUCCUCACACCACGACCGCGCGGCCCGCACGGGCCGGACGGAGAAGGUUAUCGCAGGAUCUGGGGGGUGCGGGUGCGAGUCCCGCCGAGC
rnacentral:tRNA from 1 species